rnacentral:rRNA from 1 species
UACGGCUCAGUAACACGUGGAUAACCUGCCCUAAGGAAGGGGAUACCCUCGGGAAACUGAGGAUAAUACCCUAUAGGUUACCGAUGCUGGAAUGCUCGGUAACUCAAAGUUCCGGCGCCUUAGGAUGGAUCUGCGGCCGAUUAGGUUGUUGUUGGGGUAACGGCCCAACAAGCCCGUAAUCGGUACGGGUUGUGGGAGCAAGAGCCCGGAGUUGGAUUCUGAGACACGAAUCCAGGCCCUACGGGGCGCAGCAGGCGCGAAAACUUUACAAUGCGGGCAACCGUGAUAAGGGAACCUCGAGUGCCUGUACAUGCAGGCUGUCUGGGUGUCUAAAACACACCMAAAGAAAGGGCCGGGCAAGACCGGUGCCAGCCGCCGCGGUAAUACCGGCGGCUCGAGUGGUGGCCACUUUUAUUGGGCUUAAAGCGUUCGUAGCUGGGUUGUUAAGUCUCUUGGGAAAUCCGGCGGCUUAACCGUCGGGCGUCUAAGAGAUACUGGCAAUCUUGGAACCGGGAGAGGUGAGGGGUACUUCGGGGGUAGGAGUGAAAUCCUGUAAUCCUCGAGGGACCACCUGUGGCGAAGGCGCCUCACCAGAACGGCUUCGACAGUGAGGGACGAAAGCUGGGGGAGCAAACCGGAUUAAAUACCCGGGUAGUCCCACCGUAAACUAUG